AUUUUUUAAAAAAAGAAGAAGAUGAAAUGUUAGUAAAAUGUUUUAUAUAUCAACUAAAUUUGUAUACAAUAAUGGUAUUAAUCAUUAUUAUUUGGUUAAAAAAAAAUAAUCAUUAGUACUUGAAAAGUACAUUUUAAAAAAAAUGUAAGUCACAGAAAAAUAGUCAUGUGCUUUGUGUAGAAAGGAGACAUGCAAUACAAACAUAAAUUUGUAUUAAUAACUAAUCUGUUAAUAAAUAAAGUAUGGCAAAGAUUUGGACAAUAAAAUUCUUUAGAGCAUUAAAUGUACUGAAAUCUGGUAUCAUUUUUAGUUUUAUUGGAAACGUAUAUCAAAGUAUACUAAAAGAAACUAAAUUAGCAACUCUGUAAUAGGCACAUUGUUUAUUGAUGUUCAAUGUUGUUCACAAAAAUCAGGAAAAGCAGCAAGAUUUUGUAUUUCAGAUUUUAAGAUCUAUCUUUUGAAAUAUACAAGUAUGAAAAUACAUUUUUGUUGUAAAAUUGAAAUAUAGAAAAAAAAAAAAAAAAAGAACUG